UAUAGAAUCUAGGGUGACAAACAAUGUACUGAUUCAUAAGAAAAUCGAAUUUCGGGAUUUUCAUAUAUGCCUUUAGAUGAGGGAACAUGGUAACACAAUUCAAAAAGCCAAAAGUUAGUUUUCCCAUUUCUAUACAGAAUUUCAGACAAUGAAUGACAACAUUAAAGCAAUUGACAACUAAGAAGAGUUCUAACAAACUGAAUGAUUAUGUACAGAAAGGACUAUUUGUCAACAUGAUUGUCAAGUAACUAUUCUAAUAUUAGCUAAGCUUCAAAUUCAUCAAGUGGAGA
rnacentral:misc_RNA from 1 species